rnacentral:lncRNA from 1 species
GUAUUUUCCAUCGAUUCAAGCAGAAAUAAUGGCCGCCAUUGAUUUCAAUACAUUUUUAUCCUAUUUUUGUGGAGUACUUAUGUGAAAACGGAGUACGCAUUUGAUAAAUGCCCUCCGUGCUCCGUUUCGCAUACUUUGAUUUGGAAUCAUAAUAUGACCCUCCCACAUAGCCGUCUGUUUCUAUGGCAACUUCAACGUUUGUACCGUGUAAAGCUAGCUAGCUAGUUGGCUAUGAAAAGCUAACGUAAUGUAGCAAACGAAUAAUGGUUUUUAGAAUAUGUUUUAAGAAAGCAAACAGGCUAAAUGUUAAGAAAUGAUAUUCUGCAUUUAACAUACCGGUAGAAGUUAUGUAUUAAUAUCUUGUGGGAUGAGGGUAAGUUGUCUAGCUAACGCGAACGUUAGUAACGCGUCGCUAGCUAGGCACGUCCGUUUACAAACGUGUAUAGCCAGCUGUUCGACUUUGAUAGCUAGCUAGUUACUAAAAUUAUACGAUGUGUGAAAUCGCUGAAGUUACGUUACUAGCUUGGGUUCCUUUCUUUGCUAGCUAGCUAAAGUUAACAAGAUUGUAUGCCAGCCAUGGCCAAUCCUGACAUAACUAACGCGUUAGCUACUGUAGCUAGUUAGAUAGUUAGCUUGGUACCGUUAACGUUACUUCUUCUCUGCUGGUUUCAUCCACCAAACAGCCGACAGAAAUGGGAGCCCCUUAAACGCGCCAGGAGCAAGAAGGAGAUAGUGGAAAUUAUAAUGGUGUUGCCUGUGUGGGGCCUCACACUCCCUCUUCCGGCUGUACUGAUGAUUGUUGUUGGUCUUUACAUGAUUUUCCUUGCAAUGGCGUUAUGGUUCCGCCAGUGCCUUAAGGUACAGCAUUUACUUCCCUAUACCUAUCCCUUCCCUAUAUGCUGUUGUCCAGAUGAGAGACAGUCUGCUGUUGUGCACAGAUACCUUGCAAAUGUAGCUACAAAAGAGUGCAGUUCAACAAAGCCAGGAAGAUGAACCUUGAAUCAAAUAUACACUGCUCAAAAAAAUAAAGGGAACACUUAAACAACACAAUGUAACUCCAAGUCAAUCACACUUCUGUGAAAUCAAACUGUCCACUUAGGAAGCAACACUGAUUGACAAUAAAUUUCACAUGCUGUUGUGCAAAUGGAAUAGACAACAGGUGGAAAUUAUAGGCAAUUAGCAAGACACCCCCAAUAAAGGAGUGGUUCUGCAGGUGGUGACCACAGACCACUUCUCAGUUCCUAUGCUUCCUGGCUGAUGUUUUGGUCACUUUUGAAUGUUGGCGGUGCUUUCACUCUAGUGGUAGCAUGAGACAGAGUCUACAACCCACACAAGUGGCUCAGGUAGUGCAGCUCAUCCAGGAUGGCGCAUCAAUGCGAGCUGUGGC